GGCCAGGCCCAGCCCAGGAGAGAGGCUCAGGCCAAGGUGAAGAAGGGGAUGCUGGGGAGGGAUGCAGAUUAAAUUGCACUCUCCUUGGCUUGGGAAAGAAACAGCCAACAGGUUGAAAGCUGGAGAUGAUGCAAAGAAGCCAAGGAGAAACAUGAAAACUCAAAUAUGCCCUGAACCAGUCUCAACCCCCAAGUCAAGGAAUGUAAAGUAACACCUGACAGCGGUGGAGAGGGGUAUCCUAAUAGCUGAUUGGCCGAGGGAAGGAUCCAGAAGGAGGCCGCGGCCUUCCAGUGCACCCAGGCCCAGGCUUGAUUCAGCAGCAGUUUUCCAGCUCCUACCGGCACCAGAGGAGAGAACUCCUGACCCGCGGACCCACCCGCGAAGCAAGCCUUGACGUCUCCCGGAAUUUACAGCUCCUCUCCCUCCCCGCUGGGCUUCCCCAGGCAGCACGCACCCAGGCUCUUCUUUUGGAGGCUGCCGCCUAGGGCAAACUGCAGGGGUCUGCACAACUCCCCGGGGCUUCCCGCAG